rnacentral:rRNA from 2 species
GGAUUCCCCUAGUAGCGGCGAGCGAAGCGGGAAGAGCUCAAAUUUAUAAUCUGGCACUUUCAGUGUCCGAGUUGUAAUCUCUAGAAGUGUUUUCCGCGUUGGACCGCACACAAGUCUGUUGGAAUACAGCGGCACAGUGGUGACACCCCCGUACACGGUGCGGACGCCCAGCGCUUUGUGAUACACUUUCGAAGAGUCGAGUUGUUUGGGAAUGCAGCUCAAAUUGGGUGGUAAAUUCCAUCUAAAGCUAAAUAUUGGCGAGAGACCGAUAGCGAACAAGUACCGUGAGGGAAAGAUGAAAAGCACUUUGGAAAGAGAGUUAACAGUACGUGAAAUUGUUGGAAGGGAAACGCUUGAAGUCAGACUUGCUUGCCGGAGCUUGCUUCGGUUUGCAGGCCAGCAUCAGUUUUCCGGGGUGGAUAAUGGCGGUUAGAAGGUAGCAGCUUCAGCUGUGUUAUAGCUUUCCGCUGGAUACAUCCUGGGGGACUGAGGAACGCAGCGUGCUUUUAGCGGGGGUUUCGACCUCUUCACGCUUAGGAUG